AGGGCACCACCAGGAGUGGAGCCUGCGGCUUAAUUUGACUCAACACGGGAAAUCUCACCAGGCCCGGACACCGGAAGGAUUGACAGAUUGAGAGCUCUUUCUUGAUUCGGUGGGUGGUGGUGCAUGGCCGUUCUUAGUUGGUGGAGCGAUUUGUCUGGUUAAUUCCGAUAACGAACGAGACUCUGGCCUACUAACUAGAUGAUUCCUCAUUUAUUGGGGAGUCACUGCUUCUUAGAGGGACGGGCGGCGUUUAGCCGCACGAGAAUGAGCAAUAACAGGUCUGUGAUGCCCUUAGAUGUUCUGGGCUGCACGCGCGCUACACUGAAGGAAUCAGCGUGUCCUCCCCACCCUGGCAAGGGCGGGUAACCCGUUGAAACUCCUUCGUGAUGGGGAUUGGAGAUUGUAAUUAUUCUCCAUGAACGAGGAAUUCCCAGUAGGCGCGAGUCAUCAGCUUGCGUCGAUUACGUCCCUGCCCUUUGUACACACCGCCCGUCGCUACUACCGAUCGAGUGAUUUAGU
rnacentral:rRNA from 1 species